rnacentral:rRNA from 1 species
AGAUUGAACGCUGGCGGAAUGCUUUACACAUGCAAGUCGAACGGCAGCACGGGACUCAGGCAACUGAGCCCUGGUGGCGAGUGGCGAACGGGUGAGUAACAUAUCGGAACGUACCCAGUCGUGGGGGAUAACUCUCCGAAAGGAGAGCUAAUACCGCAUACGUCCUGAGGGAGAAAGCGGGGGACCUAAGGGUAACUGAGGGCCUCGCGCGAUUGGAGCGGCCGAUAUCGGAUUAGCUAGUUGGUGAGGUAAAGGCUCACCAAGGCGACGAUCCGUAGCGGGUCUGAGAGGACGACCCGCCACACUGGAACUGAGACACGGUCCAGACUCCUACGGGAGGCAGCAGUGGGAAUUUGGACAAGUGGGGGACAACCGUGAUCCAGCCAUCCGCGUGAGUGAAGAAGCCUUGGUGUAAGCUCUUUCAGCAGGAACGAACGGUAGGUCUAAGUACGCCUAUUAAUGACGUACUAGUCAGAAGAAGCACGGACUAACGUACGUACGCCAGCAGA